rnacentral:lncRNA from 1 species
ACGCGCCCAAGCCGAGCCGGGCGGCUCCUCCGCCCCCGCCCCCCGCGCGCCCGCCGCCCGGGCGGAGGAGAGGAGCGCGCGGCCGCGCAGAGCAAGCUGAGCCGAGCCGAGCCGAGCUGGGGGCGCAGAGCGCGGGAGGCGGCGGCGGCGCGGAGCUAAUACACUGGGGUCAGUCUUCUAUGCUGUACUUCAUAGGCAAUGGGAAUGGUUCACAGGAGGCACUUAUUGAAGAACUUUUAAUGAAACGGAUGGAGCCAACUACCAGCUACUGAAAGACAGGCAUCGUAGCCUGGGGGUGGUGGGGGGCUGAGUGUUGCGCCCUCAAAUAAGCCCAUGAAGGACCCACAUCUUGCCUCCAACGCCUGGCUAAUUUUUUGUAUUUUUAGUAGAGACGGGGUUUCAUCGUGUUAGCCAGGAUGGUCUCGAUAUCCUGACCUCGUGAUCCGCCCGCCUUGGCCUCCCAAAGUGCUGGGAUUACAGG